CCUACGGGUGGCAGCAGUGAGGAAUAUUGGUCAAUGGCCGAGAGGCUGAACCAGCCAAGCCGCGUGAGGGAAGACGGCCCUACGGGUUGUAAACCUCUUUUGUCGGGGAGCAAAGCGAACCACGUGUGGUUCAUUGAGAGUACCCGAAGAAAAAGCAUCGGCUAACUCCGUGCCAGCAGCCGCGGUAAUACGGAGGAUGCGAGCGGUAUCCGGAUUGAUUGGGUUUAAAGGGUGCGCAGGCGGAGGUGCAAGUCAGCGGUCAAAUUGCGGGGCUCAGACCCGUACUGCCGUUGAAACUGCAUCCCUUGAGUGCGCGAGAGGUAUGCGGAAUGCGUGGUGUAGCGGUGAAAUGCGUAGAUAUCACGCAGAACUCCGAUUGCGAAGGCAGCAUACCGGCGCGCAACUGACGCUCAUGCACGAAAGCGUGGGUAUCGAACAGGAUUAGAUACCCGAGUAGUC
rnacentral:rRNA from 1 species